UACGUAGGUGGCAAGCGUUACUCGGAAUCACUAGGCGUAAAGCGCAGGUAGGCGGUUGGGUAAGUCUGUUGUGAAAGCUCCCGGCUCAACUGGGAGAGGCCAACAGAAACUACCCGGCUAGAGGUGUGGUAGGGGAAGGCUGGAAUUCCCGGAUCGGUAGCGGUGGAAUGACGUAGAUAUCGGGAGGAACACCUAUGGCGAAAGCAGGCUUCUGGGCCAUCACUGACGCUGAUCUGCGAAAGCUAGGGGGAGCAAACAGG
rnacentral:rRNA from 1 species